AAAUCGUGUUGAAGAUAAUGUGAAAACAAUGGUGUGUUCGUUGAAAUCAGACUAUGUUCAUAAAUUGAUCGAAAAUGUAUGUGAUUACGGAGUAAUCGUGACAAUUUGGUUUGUUUACAUGAUUGCUGGUUUCCAUUGCAAACCACUAUAGUUAUUGCGUCGCGCCGUACAUACUUUUUGCGUAUUUUGAUUUCGAGCAAUGGAGUAACAAAACGUUUUGACACAUUAUAAAA